GCCACGGUGGCGGAAUGGCUACGCAGCUGACUGCAGAUCAGCAUAUCCCGGUUCGAUUCCGGGCCAUGGCU
rfam:Candidatus Methanosphaerula palustris E1-9c, complete genome.